rnacentral:rRNA from 1 species
ACGGGUGAGUAACGCGUAAUCAACCUGCCCUUCAGAGGGGGAUAACAACGGGAAACCGUUGCUAAUACCGCGUACGAUUCAUGAACGGCAUCGUUUAUGAAUGAAAGGUGGCCUCUAUGUAUAAGCUAUCGCUGAAGGAGGGGAUUGCGUCUGAUUAGCUAGUUGGAGGGGUAACGGCCCACCAAGGCAAUGAUCAGUAGCCGGUCUGAGAGGAUGAACGGCCACAUUGGGACUGACACACGGCCCAAACUCCUACGGGAGGCAACACUGGGGAAUCUUCCGCAAUGGACAAAAGUCUGACGGAGCAACGCCGCGUGAGUGAUGAAGGUCUUCGGAUUGUAAAGCUCUGUUAAUCGGGACGAAAGAGUUCUGCGUGAAUAAUGCAGAAAAGUGACGGUACCGGAAUAGAAAGCCACGGCUAACUACGUGCCAGCAGCCGCGGUAAUACGUAGGUGGCAAGCGUUGUCCGGAAUUAUUGGGCGUAAAGCGCGCGCAGGCGGCCUAUCCAGUCUGUCUUAGAAGUUCGGGGCUCAACCCCGUGAUGGGAUGGAAACUAGUAGGCUAGAGUAUCGGAGAGGAAAGCGGAAUUCCUAGUGUAGCGGUGAAAUGCGUAGAUAUUACGAAGAACACCAGUGGCGAUGGCGGCUUUCUGGACGAAAACUGACGCUGAGGCGCGAAAGCCAGGGGAGCGAACGGGAUUAGAUACCCCGGUAGUCCUGGACGAAAC